UCUUUCUCCAUGGGGAGCUCCUGUUUUGGGGCUGAGAGGAGGACGAAAGUCCUCGACCCAAUGAACCUGAUCCAGGUAAUGCUGGCGGAGGGAAUGGAGAAAAAUGAAUAU
rnacentral:ncRNA from 2 species